UACGUAGGGAGCAAGCGUUGUCCGGAAUCAUUGGGCGUAAAGCGCGCGUAGAUGGCUUCGUAAGUCCGUUGUGAAAGUCAAAGGCUCAACCUUUGAAAGCCGAUGGAUACUGUGAAGCUAGAGUACGGAAGAGGCGAGUGGAAUUCCUGGUGUAGCGGUGGAAUGCGCAGAUAUCAGGAGGAACACCAAUAGCGAAGGCAGCUCGCUGGGACGUUACUGACACUGAGGCGCGAAAGCGUGGGGAGCGAACAGG
rnacentral:rRNA from 1 species